UUAGUACCCCCUCCGUCCGGAAAUACUUGUCAUCAAAAUGGACAAAAAAGGAUGUAUCUAGAACUAAAAUACAUCUAGAUACAUCCCCUUUUAUUCAUUUUGAUGACAAGUAUUUCCGGACGGAGGGAGUAUAAA
rnacentral:pre_miRNA from 1 species